rnacentral:rRNA from 1 species
UACUAUGUUACGACUUAUCUUACCUUAAUAAUAAGAGCGACGGGCGAUGUGUACAUAUUUUAGAGCUAAAAUCAAAUUUUUUAUCUUUAAAAUUUUACUAUCAAAUCCACUUUCACUAAAAAUUUCAAAUUUAGAUCCAUUUAAAUAAAUUUAUUGUAACCCAUCUCUACUUAAACAUAAGCUAAACCUUGAUCUGAUAUAAAUUUUAAUAAAAAUUAUAGAAAAUUAUUAAUUCUAAUAAAAUAUUCUGAUAACGACGGUAUAUAAACUGAUAACAAAUUUAAGUAAGGUUCAUCGUGGAUUAUCAAUUACAGGACAGGUUCCUCUGAAUAGACUAAAAUACCGCCAAAUUUUUUAAGUUUCAAGAACAUAACUAUUACUACCUUAGUGUUUUUAAUUACAUUUUAAAUAAUAGGGUAUCUAAUCCUAGUUUA